UGGGGAAUAUUGCACAAUGGGCGCAAGCCUGAUGCAGCAACGCCGCGUGAGGGAUGACGGCCUUCGGGUUGUAAACCUCUUUUAGUAGGGAAGAAGCGAAAGUGACGGUACCUGCAGAAAAAGCACCGGCUAACUACGUGCCAGCAGCCGCGGUAAUACGUAGGGUGCAAGCGUUGUCCGGAAUUAUUGGGCGUAAAGAGCUCGUAGGCGGCUUGUCGCGUCUGCUGUGAAAACCCGAGGCUCAACCUCGGGCCUGCAGUGGGUACGGGCAAGCUAGAGUGCGGUAGGGGAGAUUGGAAUUCCUGGUGUAGCGGUGGAAUGCGCAGAUAUCAGGAGGAACACCGAUGGCGAAGGCAGAUCUCUGGGCCGUAACUGACGCUGAGGAGCGAAAGCAUGGGGAGCGAACAGG
rnacentral:rRNA from 1 species